rnacentral:lncRNA from 1 species
GUCCCCUUAAUCUCUUCCCCCUAAGAAACAACCAGACAGACAUUCAUUAACCAAGGAGGUUUCCCUAGAAAGCACAACAGGACAUCUAAGAGAUCCAUGCAGCCAUACAUCUGAAGGUGUGGGGACUGGAUCUUUGAGAAUCAAUGGAAGGAGCCCAGCAUGCAGGAACACUCCACACUGAGUGGUUCAGCUCAGCCAACAUGUGGGUGCUCCCACCAAGUGCAGCAGCCCAGGCGGACCGCCCAUGAGCACAGAGCAGCCUGCACAUGCAAAAGAAAGCACCCCUUCCCUCCUGCCUAGUGCACCAGCUCAGCCAGUCACUGGCCAAGGCAGUGGUCCCGCACCAGAGUGCCUGUGUGUGCAUGUGUAACCUGCCAAGUGGCUGCGGCCAGAGGGCAAAUGAGGAUGGGCCCUAUAGGCACAGCUUCCAGCAGAUGUUGUGCGUUCAGAAAAUACAGCUCCUGCACCCCCCACCCCUGCUGAGGUGCCAGGUGGAAUCUGAUACUACUACAAAUGACUUGGCAAAGGAUCAGUUCAUCAAACACCAUGAAAAAUUACCGUAACACUUCAGAACAGAAGGAAAAUUACAAGUCUCCAGAAACCAACCCUGAAGUCAAAGAAACUUACAAUCUAAAUGACAGAGAAUUCAAAAUAGUUGUCAUAAAGAAACUCAAAGAGUUACAAGAAAACUCAGAAAAACAGCACAAUGAACUUAGGAAUAAAACUAAUGAGAAGAAGGAAUACUUCACCAAAGAGAUUGAAAUUGUAAAAAAAAACAAAUAGAAUUUCUGGACAUGAAGAACACAAUGAAUGAGAUAAAAAACAAUCUAGAAACCUUAAAAAGCAGAGCUGAUGUUAUGGAGAACACAAUUAGUGAUUUAGACAACAGAAAUGUAGUAAUGCUUCAGGUGAAGGAGGAGAAAGAACUAAGACUUAAAUAAAAAUGAAGAAAUUCUUUGAGAAAUAUCUGACUCAAUUAGGAAAAACAACAUAAGGAUUACAGGUAUUCAAGAGGGAGAAGGGAGUGGGGAGCUUCUUCAAAGAAAUAAUAAAUCUGAGGAAGGCACUGGACUUACAAGUAUACGAAGCCAACAGAACUCCUAAUUACAUCAAUGCUAAAGACCCUCUCCAAGGCAUAUAAUAGUAAAACUGGGAAAAGCAAACGACACAGAAAAAACAUUAAGG